UCCUACGGGAGGCAGCAGUGAGGAAUAUUGGUCAAUGGUCGGGAGACUGAACCAGCCAAGCCGCGUGAGGGAUGAAGGUACAGAGUAUCGUAGACCUCUUUUGUCAGGGAACAAAGGCGGGGACGCGUCCCCGGGUGAGUGUACCUGAAGAAAAAGCAUCGGCUAACUCCGUGCCAGCAGCCGCGGUAAUACGGAGGAUGCGAGCGUUAUCCGGAUUUAUUGGGUUUAAAGGGUGCGCAGGCGGUCUGUUAAGUCAGCGGGCAAAGCCCGGGGCUCAACCCCGGCCCGCCGUUGAAACUGGCAGG
rnacentral:rRNA from 1 species